GACGUAGGGCGCGAGCGUUUGUCCGGAUUUAUUGGGCGUAAAGAGCUCGUAGGUGGUUUGUCGCGUUGUUCGUGAAAACUCACAGCUUAACUGUGGGCGUGCGGGCGAUACGGGCAGACUGGAGUACUGCAGGGGAGACUGGAAUUCCUGGUGUAGCGGUGGAAUGCGCAGAUAUCAGGAGGAACACCGGUGGCGAAGGCGGGUCUCUGGGCAGUAACUGACGCUGAGGAGCGAAAGCGUGGGGAGCGAACAGG
rnacentral:rRNA from 1 species